UGACCUCGAUCAGGAG
rnacentral:rRNA from 1 species